AGAGAUAUAGCUCAGGACAAGAGCACCUGCUUGGCAUGCAGAAGGUCGUAGGUUCAAUCCCAGCUAAUAUCUGUA